rnacentral:rRNA from 1 species
UACGUAGGGCGCAAGCGUUAUCCGGAAUUAUUGGGCGUAAAGAGCUCGUAGGCGGUUUGUCGCGUCUGCCGUGAAAGUCCGGGGCUCAUCUCCGGAUCUGCGGUGGGUACGGGCAGACUAGAGUGAUGUAGGGGAGACUGGAAUUCCUGGUGUAGCGGUGAAAUGCGCAGAUAUCAGGAGGAACACCGAUGGCGAAGGCAGGUCUCUGGGCAUUAACUGACGCUGAGGAGCGAAAGCAUGGGGAGCGAACAGG